rnacentral:rRNA from 1 species
CUCAAGGAUAAGCCAUGCAUUUCUAAGCAUAACCCCUUGAAUGGGAAAGCCGCACAUGGCUCAUUACAACAGCUAAAGUUUAUUAGAUGAUACUAUCCUACUUGGAUAACUGCAGAAAAGCUGGAGCUAAUACAUGCAAUUAGCUUGAACGCAAGAACGAGCGCAUUUAUUAGAAGCUAAACCAAUCGGGCUUCGGCCUGACGUUUGGUGAAUCUGACUAACUCUGCAGAUCGCACGAUCUCGUAUCGGCGACGUAUCUUUCAAAUGUCUGCUUUAUCAACUUUCGAUGGUAGUUUAUACGACUACCAUGGUUGUAACGGAUAACGGAGAAUUUAGGGUUCGACUCCGGAGAGGGAG